rnacentral:rRNA from 1 species
CACGUAGGGCGCAAGCGUUGUCCGGAAUUAUUGGGCGUAAAGAGCUCGUAGGCGGUGUGUCGCGUCGGCCGUGAAAACUUGCAGCUUAACUGUGGGCGUGCGGUCGAUACGGGCAUCACUGGAGUUCGGCAGGGGAGACUGGAAUUCCUGGUGUAGCGGUGAAAUGCGCAGAUAUCAGGAGGAACACCGGUGGCGAAGGCGGGUCUCUGGGCCGAUACUGACGCUGAGGAGCGAAAGCGUGGGGAGCGAACAGG